UUCUAAACAUAAGCAGCAAGGAACACAACUGAGUCCAGAAAGCUACACAGACACAAACUAAUUCCAGAACCACAGAACAGGAUCUCAAAAAACUGGAACUCAGAGACAGAAG